UGAAUACUGAGCACUCAUAGUGUGUUUUUUUUUCCCCACAGACUCAACCAUUGCCCACUUUCGAAGGGACAAGCCUCCCGUGAAGCAGAUGACCCGCAGCAGAGAUGCAUAGGCUUCAGCAUGCCAAGGCAACCAGGACUGCGUCACGACCAUUGUGUUUUCUUGCAGAGGGCUCUUGGGGCAGAACAUGGGGCUUUUGGGUUCAUGGGGUAUGCUCUCCCAUUAUUUCUAGCCACUAAGAUAUAUGACUUGCUUAUGUAUGGACCACCUAGAAUAUCAAUAAAAUAUCACAGCUAUUUUAGAGA